UAACUGAAGAAAUGCAACAUAAUUGUUCACUUUGUACAUAGCAUAAAUAUGUAUGUAAAUAUGCACAAAUCAGUUAAAAAGUGAAAAAUCCAUUAUUCCAAUCACAGCCUCCAUCUCGCACCAUGGCCAAACAAACGCAUGUUUAAUCCAAGUAAGGCAUUAUAACUUGAUUGAUUACUUUUCGCUUCCAGCAAGGUUUUCAGACCGAUCGAAUCAUCCAUAAAUAUUUUUCGCUUAUUAAAAGGAACCACGUCCAAUGAGUCAUUGAAGUAACUAAAAUGACUAAAAGAUCGCAAAUAAUAUACAUAAAUAUUAUAAAAAGUGUUCGAUUCUUAAGUUCAAUUAUAAGUUAACAGUAACGUUAUGUUGUACCUCGAUUGCCAAGGAGUUAUUACACCAUCAUUAGGACCACCAAUCAGGACAAGCUUAUCCAGGCGCACCAUUCCCAUUUUGAAUGACGUUGAAUUUGAGCUCACCUAACACAAUUAUACCCUCAGGAUGCAGUCUUCCAAUUUGAUCUUGAUAAUUUAGUAUAUAUUAUUAAGGCUGUACCAACCAUCGAAUUUAUCGCAAUUGUACACAACUGUACCGGGAUGCAGCUGCAAUAAAUGCAAUCAAAAUUCGGGAAAUCCAUCAUUG